rnacentral:rRNA from 1 species
UCGGGAAUUUUGGGCAAUGGGCGAAAGCCUGACCCAGCAACGCCGCGUGGAGGAUGAAGGCCCUAGGGUUGUAAACUCCUGUCAGGUGGGACGAAAAGGCGUCGGCGAAUACCCGGCGUUCCUGACGGUACCACCGGAGGAAGCCCCGGCUAACUACGUGCCAGCAGCCGCGGUAACACGUAGGGGGCGAGCGUUAUUCGGAAUUAUUGGGCGUAAAGGGCGCGUAGGCGGCUUGACAAGUCAGGGGUGAAAUCCCUCGGCUCAACCGAGGAAUUGCCUCUGAAACUGUCCGGCUUGAGGCCGGGAGAGGGUGGUGGAAUUCCCAGUGUAGCGGUGAAAUGCGUAGAUAUUGGGAGGAACACCAGUGGCGAAGGCGGCCACCUGGACCGGUUCUGACGCUGAGGCGCGAAAGUGUGGGGAGCAA